rnacentral:rRNA from 1 species
GACGAACGCUGGCGGCGUGCCUAAUACAUGCAAGUAGAACGCUGAAGCUUGGUGCUUGCACCGAGCGGAUGAGUUGCGAACGGGUGAGUAACGCGUAGGUAACCUGCCUGGUAGCGGGGGAUAACUAUUGGAAACGAUAGCUAAUACCGCAUAAGAGUAGGUGUUGCAUGACAUUUGCUUAAAAGGUGCAAUUGCAUCACUACCAGAUGGACCUUCGUUGUAUUAGCUAGUUGGUGAGGUAACGGCCCACCAAGGCAACGAUACAUAGCCGACCUGAGCGGGUGGUCGGCCACACUGGGACUGAGACACGGCCCAGACUCCCACGGGAGGCAGCAGUAGGGAAUCUUCGGCAAUGGACGGCAGUCUGACCGAGCAACGCCGCGGGAGGGAAGAAGGGUUUCGGAUCGUAAAGCUCUGUUGUAAGAGAAGAACGAGUGUGAGAGUGGAAAGUUCACACUGUGACGGUAUCUUACCAGAAAGGGACGGCUAACUACGUG